rnacentral:lncRNA from 1 species
CAGCCUUCCCCACUCUCUGCUUCCUGUGCACGGAUAGAAUGUGAUGAGCCAACUUCCUGCUACUGCUGUGAUGCGUUCUGUGCCUAUUGUGCCUUCCUUUUGUAUCCUUUGCAACUGUAAGCCAACAUAAACCCUUUCUUACCCUUAAUUGCUUAAGAAGAGUUUAUCGCAGCAACAGAAAGGAACCGAAGACGUCAGCCCAUGGGAAGGUGUGGAACGGUGCCACCACUUUUAAGGUUUCUGGUCCAGCCUGUCUCCACAUACAGAUCCAGCUCGGCCAUUUCUCAGGAAAACAAUUUAAACUAGAAAAAGAAGACAGCAGCAGCCUGCACCCAGCGCUCUGCAGGGUGCCUAUGAAGAGGACGUGCCUGUCACUUGACAGGUUACAUACACUUCAACCUAUCCAUCUGUGAAACGGGAUCCGUGGUACUUCUUUUGUAAAGCCGGUAAUGAGGUGGCCGUUCCAACACUGUAAGCUACAUCCCAUGGAAGGUGACUCCAACCCUGGUAACCUGUCAGCCUGAGGCUCACAGUACUGCAGUAGCCCUGGAGGGGUGAGCACCUGUAAGAGAGUGGAGUCUGCCUGCAGCUAAGUAAAAAAUGUCAGCAAUGAGAACAAUUGAGUUUGUGACUGCAGCAGUAAUUCUCCCAGGCUUGGAGAAUGGGUCCCAGGGCCACACCUGUCAUAGAGCAUAAAGAAACAAUCAGUUAGCAACAAAGUAACCAAUCCCUUCCUUGCUAAGCGUUUCGGUCAUAAACAGGUUCAAUACUGGACAAUGAAUGUUGCAGCUGCCCAUAGUCCUGAGGCUCCUGGGGCCUGGGAGACUGAGCAAAGCAUUGAUGCAUACCGACUCCUCCUCAAGGAGUGAGGUCGUGCUUGGGGCACCAAGAACCAAGCUACACAUCUGUGAGUCACAUCCCCAUUAAGAACUCGUCCACUUGGUAAUGCUGCAAUAACCCAAACCACAGACUCCAUCUGGGAUGAAACCCCGGUCCACAUGCAAGCCUUACACUCGGGAGGCAGAGGUGGAGGGGCACGGGUUUGAAGCCAGGAAAUCCCAAGCAACUGUCUGUUCAGAUCCCCUCAAAUGAGCCUGGGGGAUCCAGCAGUGUGAGCCAUUCUGGAUCUAUAGCCCCGACUCUAGGCUCACAAACAAAGCCUGUUGAGGCUGCAAAACUAAAUUUGCUGUUAUUUGUCCUUUGGCAUGGGUUUCUCUCUGCCCUAAAUCUUGAUGUUUCUAUUUCCCCAGUAUUCGUCAUGUGGACCCAUCUUAUUCUUCACAUGGACUUGUCUUUGCAUUCUUCACGUGGACCCAUCUGUGUGUUCAACUCCCUGUAUCAUUUUCUCCCAUUUUCCAUCCUCAUCUCCUUGGGAACAGAGCCAGUGUUCGUGUCUAGGGAAAAUUCUAGGCUCUUUAUGCCUCUCCCCCAAAAUCAGUGGGCUUGGGGAAUAUUAUGGGAGCUAAAGAUAGAGCUUUUCAUGUAACCAAAAAAGGAUCAAAAUUCUAACCCUUCUGGAAGCCAGUGGCCAGAUGGGACCACACUCCCUCUGUCCAGAGUUAAACCAGAGAUUAUUCUGCCCAGGAAAAGUGAAGCAGAUGUCUGAACAACUUUCUCUGGACAUUAGAAAACAAACAUCCAGUUGGUGGGAAUUGAUUUAUUUUGCACCCCCCACACCACCACCUCUUGCCCUCCCAGGAACAUCUUGUGUUGAGUUGGGGCAGCCUUUGCCGUUGGGAGCAGUGCCCCCUCCAAAGUGAAGAAAGAAAACUCUGAACUGGGGCUGGAGAGAUGGCUCAGUGGGUAAGAGCACCCGACUGCUCUUCCGAAGGUCCAGAGUUCAAAUCCCAGCAACCACAUGGUGGCUCACAACCAUCCGUAAUGAGAUCUGACGC